CCUACGGGAGGCAGCAGUGAGGAAUAUUGGUCAAUGGGCGUAAGCCUGAACCAGCCAAGUCGCGUGAGGGAUGAAGGUUCUAUGGAUCGUAAACCUCUUUUAUAAGGGAAUAAAGUGUGGGACGUGUCCUAUUUUGUAUUUACCUUAUGAAUAAGGAUCGGCUAACUCCGUGCCAGCAGCCGCGGUAAUACGGAGGAUCCGAGCGUUAUCCGGAUUUAUUGGGUUUAAAGGGUGCGUAGGAGGCCUUGUAAGUCAGAGGUGAAAGUCUGUGGCUCAACCAUAGAAUUGCCGUUGAAACUGGGGGGCUUGAGGAGGUUUGAGGCAGGCGGAAUGCGUGGUGUAGCGGUGAAAUGCUUAGAUA
rnacentral:rRNA from 1 species